UGGGUCAAGCCUGCCCAGUGAAUUUUUUAACGGCCGCAGUACCCUGACUGUGCAAAGGUAGCAUAAUAAUUUGUCUUAUAAUUGAAGACUAGAAUGAACGGVUAAAUGUAAAUAAAACUGUCUCUUAUGUGGCGCUAAAAAUUAAUCUAUUGGUCCAAAAGCCAAUAUUUUAUAAACAGACGAGAAGACCCUAUUGAGCUUAAUUCCUAUUUAUACUUAAUUAAUUUCCCCAUAAAAUAAAAUUUUGUUGGGGCGACAAAGGAACUUAUUCAGCUUCCUUUAAAACUUUUAUACUAAAAAUUAAACCGAUCCAUUCAUAAUGAUCAAAUAACAAGCUACCAUAGGGAUAACAGCAUAAUUCUUUUUAAGAGCCCAAAUCGAAAAAAGAGUUUGUGACCUCGAUGUUGGACUAAGGUAAUAAAAAGGCGCAACCGUCUUUUUAAAUAGUCUGUUCGACUAGUAA
rnacentral:rRNA from 1 species